AUUCUGUCUUCUGUUCUCUGUCUGAUCCUUGCUCCUGAUUCUUGCUCCUGAUCCUGUUUGUUUUUCCCUUUUUACCCCGACGCGACACCCACAAUCUGCAAACAGAGUCAAGAGGUGAAGAAGAGGAAGCACAGACUAACACAGCACUGUCCUGCCUGAUGGAGGUCACACCUGUCGUCCAUUUCACAACAUUUUACAAGAAGAAAGUCCAGGUGUUGCUCCAUCUGCUCCAUAGGAAUUACACUGAGUGGCAGUUAGCUUGUGCUAACUUCCGGGAACUUCUGAGUGGCUGAAACUGCCUGUUUACUGUCCUGACAGUCCUUCUUACCAGCUGACUGCACACACCUCACUGCACCACCCUCUGAACAGCACAGGGUGGGAGAACAGUACAUAAAUAAACAAUAUAAUUAAAAAGGUCAAGUGGCUGGAAUCCUCUGAGGACAGAAGGAGACUUCAGAGGAGCCUCUGAUGACUUCAGAUCCAGAGAGAACCUGAUCCAGUACUAGAUGGCGAGCCCAGAGCCUGUUUCCUGUGUGGUAGGACUGAACUGUGCACACACAGAGCUCUUGGUCUGGUCCAGUCCUCUCAUUUACUUUAAUUAAUAAUUUCUCUCACUGAACUCUGUGGUUACAUACACUGGAUCUAUUCUUUGUGGAGUCAGUCUGGAGCCUUUACUCACUGGGUAACAAUAGUAGAAAAACACAUCACUUAACUUACUUCAUUUACCACUACUACUUCAUGUUAGUUGCACGCUGUGCUUUCACUUCAGGACGUCUGUUGUUGAUAAGGUAGGUGUUUAAGUUCCCUCUGCUGUUUAGUGAGUGGGUUAACGUAUAACUCUUAGAGCGAUGAAGAGAUUCUUGACUUUUUAA